GUGAGGAAUUUUCCGCGAUGGGCGAAAGCCUGACGGAGCAAUGCCGCGUGAAGGAUGAAGGCCUAUGGGUUGUAAACUUCUUUUCUCAGAAAAGAAUUAUGACGGUAUCUGAGGAAUAAGCAUCGGCUAACUCUGUGCCAGCAGCCGCGGUAAGACAGAGGAUGCAAGCGUUAUCCGGAAUGAUUGGGCGUAAAGCGUCUGUAGGUUGUUUAAAAAGUAUUCUGUCAAAGAUUAGGGCUUAACCCUAGAUAGGCAGAAUAAACUUUUAAGCUAGAGUUUGGUAGAGGCAGAGGGAAUUCCCGGUGGAGCGGUGAAAUGCGUAGAUAUCGGGAGGAACACCAAAGGCGAAGGCACUCUGCUGGGCCAAUACUAACACUGAGAGACGAAAGCGAGGGGAGCAAAUGGGAUUAGAUACCCGUGUAGUCC
rnacentral:rRNA from 1 species